rnacentral:lncRNA from 1 species
AAAAGUGAUCGUCAUCUAACCAUUAAGGUGGUGUCCAUCGCUCCAGGAGAAUACACCCAAGUAUACUACUACAGAUUGUAUAUAGAAAACCAAAACUAUAUUGACCUUGUUGUUACUUGUUCACCGAUUGGGGAUGUUCUAUGGAAGAUCUUGUCAAAUUAUAUAAAAAACUAUUAGCUGACUACCAGUCAUGCUGCCACUCCUUCCAGGAUAUCUAAACCCUUCUUUUCUGGGUGAUAAAACUAAAGAGGCCGCCUUGUACCUCGUCACACACAAUUUAGCUCCUGGUUUUUUUACAUAUCCUGCUAAUGAUGACUCUCAUGUUGAGGAAGAUGCUUCAAAACAUAUCUAAAUUUGUAGGUCAAAUACUAUCUAAAUAAGACCUGUCAAUUGUGUGCUUUUUUAUGUGUGCCAUUCAUGAAUUUCUUGUUUUCUUUGUAUUUCUCCUUUCAUUUUGUUGUGAGUGCAGAUCAUUUGCUUCUCUUGUAUCAGUUAUAUGUGUAAUGCUUUAAAUAAUAAGAAGCAAAUUAAAUAUCAGUUUCUUUUCUAUACAUUUUUAUGUCAAUGAUCACCUUUGUUUAUUACACUUGAUUUUCGCUUUCAAUGAACUGACAUUAUUAAUGUGAAAAUAUUGUAUUUUCUGUUAACUCAGAACAACAUAUAUUUCAUAUCAGAAAAAACAAUUAUUUUCUAUUUCUCUGGGUAUUUCAAACAAAUCACAUACUUUCAAUGACGUUAUAUAUCACCACGGUUUUUAUAAUCACUUGAGGUGUAAAUUUCAAUCAUUUCAUCACGGAUCACUACGCCAAAAACUGGAAUAGACAGCGCACCUUAGAGGGCGCUUUAUUACAAAAGCGCUCUCUCAAGUGAAGCGAAAAAUAAGGAGCAAUAGACAGCGCACUUUAGAGGGUGUUUUUGUAAUAAAGCGCCCUCUAAGGUGAAGCGAAAAAAUAAGGAGGAGAUAGAGGGACAACAAUACAUGGCGCUUUUUAUAAAGCGCCCUCUAAGGUUACCCUUAGAGGGGGCUUUUUGUAAAGCGCCCUCUAAGGUUACCCUUAGAGGGCGCUUUGUAUAAAGCGCUGUUAUAAGUCCAUGUGCAUUUCCAGCUUAUAAAGCGCUUCUAGAAAGCCUUAGAGAGCGCUUCCAUAAGCGCCCUCUUAGGCCCCCUUUAGAGGGCGCUUUUUUUCCACAAGCGCCCUCUAAUGUCCCCUUUAGUAAACAUUAAAAUUAUAAAAUACUGCGCGUUUUGUUAGCGCAUGCAUGGGACUACAUUACCAAUAGAGGUUAUACGACCCAUGAACAAUGAUUUGUGUCAACCCAGUAUCAUUGAAACCUAGGUCCGAAUGUUUUGAACUCUUCUGAAAUUGUUUUUUUUUGUUUAUUUUAUUGUUUCUUUAUUACAGGUAAAAAUGACUUUUAUUUUAAUUGUUUUUACAUUUGUCAUCUGAUUUUAAUGUUUUCUUUUUUACAGUAAAAUGCUAUUAUGAAGUCAAUCAUUCGUGCAAGGGCAAGGGAUCGCUCGAAAGUAUCAAUUGAUAUUUGUUUAGAUGGAGAUGCUCUAUUGUCGUCAAGCCUCAUUCGCGUAGAUGAUGGCUGGAUAUUUGAAGUAUCCCUCUACGACAAUGAACUGUCAUCUAAACAUAUAUCAAUUCUAUCUUCAAAAGAUAAACGACCAAAAUAUAAGGGAUUACGCAGCAAAUCGAGUCAGUUGCAUUAAAAGAAAAAGGUAUAAACACAUUAUAUGAUUUUAUGAUUUAAUUGUUUUUACAUUUGUCAUCUGAUUUUAAUUGGUUCUUUUUUACAGUAAAAUGGCUAUUAUGAAGUCAAUCAUUCGUGCAAGGGGCAAGGGAUGCUCGAAAGUAUCAAUUGAUAUUUGUUUAGAUGGAGAUCUCUAUUGUCGUCAAGCCUCAUUCGCGUAUGAUGAUGCUGUGUAUUUGAAAGUAUCCCUCUACGACAAUGGAACUGUCCAUCUAAAAUAUAUCAAUUCUAUCUUCAAAAGAUAAGGGACCAAAAGGUACGCAGCAAUCGAGUCAGUUGCAUAAAAAGAAAAAGGUAUAAACACAAUUAUAUGAUAUUUAUGCAUAGAAAAUGUUAAUUCUUGAUCUUAUACAUCACCUAACUAAUUUUAUGAUAUUUUAGGUUCAUGCUAUUGAUAUGAACAAAAAGAGUUGUUGCUAAGAAGCUGCUGCUACCAAAAACAUACAUCUCAAGAUGGUUUGCUACUUAGUUUUAUUUCUUUUUAAGUUUAUGAAUUGUGCUAUAUAGAAUCUUUAGAAGUUAAACGAUAUAUAUCGUGAUUUUAUAUAUGUAUGGAUUGUUGAUAUAAGGCUUGUGAAUGCAAUGUGUGAAAAAGGUUUCAAAUUAUAUAGUUUGGUGUCUGCUUCAAUAUACAGGUGUCUAAAAUAAAAUAAAUAAAUAUAGCGUUUUUUUAAAAAAAAAAUUUAAUAACCACCCACUUAGAGGCGCUUUUACUGGAAAGCGCCCUCUAAAGUGGAAACAUUUAAGGUUAGAGGGCGUUUUACUGGAAAGCGCCUCUAAACCUUAAAAGUUUCCACUUUAGAGGCGCUUUCCAGUAUAAAAACACCCUCUAAACCCUUAAAUGUUUCCACUUUAGAGGGCGCUUUUUUGAAAAAAGCGCCCUCUAANNNNNNNNNNNNNNNNNNNNNNNNUUAUUUCACUAUCUGUUAUUUUGUUCGUUCUUUCACGUUAGGGUUCUAAGCGUUUUUCCGUUCCACCUCUGUUAGAUCUACAUUAUUACUGCGUGUUUCCUCCUUCUACCCAAUCCAAAGUACACGCUUUGCCCAAUUCUGUUUUAUGUUAUUGCUUUGUUUUAGCUUUGCCCAAUUUCUGUUUUAUGUUAUUGUUGUCUAUGCUACGUUUGUUUUCGACCUGUAAAGUUUCAAUAUUCAUAGUCAUAUUAAAUAGUUUGGUUUAUUAGGAAAUUGAAGUGGCCCUUAAAGGUCUUAAAGAGCCACUUUAGACAGCGCUUUCACUAGGAAAAAAAGCGCUGUCUUUACCUAUGCCAGCGCCAGAUUAGAGGGCGCUUUAAAGCGCUGUUAUAGGCAAAAAAAAGCGCCCUCUUUUCCCUUAUUUGGCAUAGUGGAUCUUAUUGUCAACCGUGGUGAAACAUGUUACUUAUUUAUAUAUAAACGAAAUUAUAUCUCGCUUCAGUAUAUAACAACAACCGUCUUUCUAGAAUCAAAACCCUAACAAUUCUUUCACUCGUCUCUCUCAAAAUGAAACCCUAAUAUAUUUGUCACUCGUCUCUCUCAUAUGGAAACCCUAAAAUAAAAACAUAACAUCGAAUCUUAGCCAAUGGCUAUUUUACAUGCUCGUCUUCACUAUAGUUUUUUUUAAAGUCUGUUUAUGUAUUAUAAUUUAUGUUUCAAUAGCUUGUUUCAUAAUGUUUGAACUUUUUGCUUGUUUUGACUUGUAGGUAGGGAUGCUUGUUUCAAUAACGAACACGAAGCUAAAGUGAGCGAUGCAGACUCGUAUGCAAGAUCCAAAAUGACAUCCAUUCAAAAUAGACAUAAGUUUGCAGCUCUAACUUCAGCUUCAUCCAUCUUUCAUUAUGGACACGCCAUUAUGGGACAUGUACGUUUCUGAAACAUUUUAUGACUUGAUAUGUUUGUUGUAUCGUUUAUGUUGUUUAUGGUUUGUUUUUUAUGAAUGUUUUUUUUAUGAAUGUUGUUGUUAAUGUUUGUUUAAAAGAUGAGUUUAUUAUAUCUUAUCUGGUUUGAGAGUUUUUCCGAUCCCUUAUCCAAUAUAUAACUUUUCAGAUUGAAUUAGAAAAUUAUAAUAUGAAGGAUAAAGUUAUAUUAGAAAACAAAUACACGUUCAAUUCUUGACAAGAAUUAUUCAAUUCGUUAUUUGCAUGUUGUUCUUUAACCGUUCGAACUUUAUUUAAUGAUUGUAGUUCUUUAAUCACUCAUCUCUCCAUCUCUAAUUUUGUUUGCAAAGUAAAUAAUAUUUUUCAAAAUGAGCUAGAGGUGAAGGCAGGGGUGGUUCAAGAACUAGGAUAAUUAAACAAAGUUCUAACUGUUAAAGAGGAAAAUGGGGAUAAGGAGUUGAAGAACUCUUGUCAAGCAUUGAACGUGAACUAGUUCUUCUAAUAUAACUUAAUUUGUCAUAUUAUAAUAUUCUAAUUCAAAUUGAAAUGUUAUAUGUUUAGUGAGCAUUGGCGAAAUAAGCAUUACACGUAAUUUAUAAUAAAGUCUGUGUAUAUAUCACAACGGUUGUUUAGACCAGUUGUUGUUAAAUAUUAUGAAUUAUAGAAUAUCACAAUUGUUGUUUAAAGUAACCGUUGUGGUAGGUAGCGCACUACAUAUAUACAAUUACGGUCGCACGACUGUGGUGGAAAAUAUCAUAUGUACAAUCACACCUUACCUCACAACGGUUGGUCCAGUGUGGGGGUAUCCCUUUACCAAUCAUUUUGGUAGGUGUUUUCCAUAGUAAUGAUAAUUUAAGUAUCAAAUUAUUAUGAUUAGUGCAUCCAUAUGAGUUUCACAUGGAUUAGGCAUAUAUUGACUUACGAUAAUGACUUGUAUGCUAUAUCAUGACGUGUGUGUGACAAAUAGAUUAAUUUUUCUACCAACCUCUGGUACUGUUCUUUAUUUGUUGGCACCGAAUCACUAUUUUCUCCAAAUUUAUGAUUUUGAAUUAUUCAUGACUAUAAAUAUACUCAUUUUACCUUGGACGCGAAUGAUAUUUUACCUCGGUUAGACAAGCGAGGUAACCAAGGGAGACAUGAAAAUUUGCCACUUUGUUGCUCUGCUUUUGAAUAACUUAGGAGAUAAUUAAAAUGGUCAUUAGUUUGAUCCCCAACAACAACAUUUUUUUUUCAAAACUAUGUUGCGUGUGCCACAUACCUCUCGGUUUUUAUUAAUAACCAAGAUGAAAACACCAUUAUUUUCUUCAGAUUUAGAUUACGUUUCACAAAAUUGUAUCCCUCCAUGACUCUACAUGUCGGUAAAAAUUAAACAUGAAUAAAUUAUAUUCAAAACUAAAGUUAAAAAUUGAGUAUUACAAAUAAUACCACUGACUCGCUCAAAACAUUAUGCAUAUCUUUAUUAAGUUUAUAGUGUAACGAGCAUAAAAUAACUACAGCAUUUUGCUUCGGACAUAUAAUAACUAGUUGCCAAUGGUUCCUACACAAAGUAAAAUAACGUAUGCAUGGUAAAAUGGUCACAUUAGCAUUCUUUAUUCUCAUUAGCCAACUAAUUUUGUAUGUGCAUCUUGAUAGUGUUUACUCCUAUACCUUGUAAUUGAAUGUUCAAUCGAUCUAACAAACAAUACUUUCUUAAUUUCCUUUAAACACGGAUCUCAUGCAUGAACCUAAUUAAAAAUUAAUGCAAAAGUAUAAUUUUUACGUUAAAGUAUGAUAACAAUGAAAUAAAUUGAAAUCACCGUAAAAGUUAUACUUACGAGUAUCACAAUUAUAGUAUGGGUAUGUCCAGCCAAUCAUCUGCCUUCAAAAACUCCACAAGACAACUCUUAUGGAGUAUAAGAUAUUUUUUGUUUCAUGUUUUAAUGUAAAAUCGUAGAUGUAUGGAAUCUCCUUUAUCAUCUUUGAUAGUCUCUGAGUGUUAUCUAGUUAAGGUGGUGUAGUCUCAAUAUUGUGUUGCAGGAUAUAACAACUAUCUUUCAUGCUUGCACCACUCAUAACAACUUUCUCAGGUAAGUCCAACUGAUCUGAAUUGGGUGGUUUAAUUCACCCAUUGAUUUCAAUUAUUUCAUCAUAAAAACAACUGAAAUUCAAUUGUCUCCUCCGGAUUCAACCCCCCCCCCACCCCCCCCCCCCCCCCNCCCCCACGUUCCUCCUGAGGCAACUUCUUCAUCGCCUCCUAAGUCCACUUCUCACACUCCUAUUUUAAUACCUCCCCCAACAUUUUAGAAACUAACACUUGAAUUUAUCUCUUACGGUUUAAUUCGUUAAUUAAUUGUGACGGUCCAAAAUGUAACUUCAAGCCGACGCCUCUUCCAAGACAACGGACACGCUCUUCAGUUCCAAUCACUUCUAUAAGAUGUCAUAAUGAUCUCAUGGAAUGAAGAUACCAACUUUGGAUUGUUCAACCAGUGCAUCCUACAAAAAAUAUAAAAGUUCAUCUUUACCAAAUUGAAUUAACUAAAAUAAGUAAUGUUGAAAAAGAAUAUUUACUUACAAUCUUUUCAGCCACUUCACGAGUAGCCUCUAAUGUGAACAAGACAUCUUGUAUUUUACGUGCCCUCUUCCAUUUCUCAUGGCAUGAUGGUGGAGAUGGACUGCAAUCAAGGUGUCUAAAUGGAUCUCACAUUUUUUAUUCCCUUUGUUUUCUUUUUUCAUUAGUCAUUUUCUGUUAAAGUUUAUGAUUUCUUCCACGAGACAAUUUAUAUGAAUAGAUAUUUCUAGCUUUAUUCUCCUUUCCUUUUUGGCUCUUAGCCAAGAAAUUAGGAGUGGUGCGAGACUUUUCAAAAUUCUCUCAAACUUUCUUAUCAAAAAAUGGAUAUUUCACGUAUGGGGGCUAUGAUUCAUCACUUGGAUAUUUAAUAUAAUCAUACGUAAGAUUCUUAAAGCCCCUCAAACGCUCACUAGCAUAUCCAACCCAUUUCUUUUUCAGCAUUUUAUCCUUAAAACAAUAAACACUGCCUAUGUUUACAUAAUAAAUACGAGUGGGUUCCCAAUAACAAUGGUGUUCAAACUGAUGAGUUAGGAUUCACACGGGUUAACCUUGGCAAGGAACUCAUAAAAUUGAGCCAUUCAUCAUGGCUACUCAAGCAAAACAAGUUUUUUAAGUGAUAGACCCUACAGACUUAUCGAGGAUUUGGUCAAUUGUUCUCAAAGGAAAACACAUUCCUCCUAGUGAUGAUGAAAGUUUUGAUAUUCCUUCCACUCCUUCUUAUACAACACAAGUGCCUACUUCAUAUGAAGAAGUUGAUAGCGAUUAUGUACAUGUUAUUCGUAACGAUCAUUAAGAAGACAUAUGGGUAAAUUAACAAGUAUUUUAUAUUCUUCAUUCCUAAUUUUUUGUAUGUUCUAAUUUCUAAUGAUUUUAUUUUCUAACAACUAGUAUCAUUUGAAAUUGUAGGUAUUUAAAGUCAAGACACCGAGAGACAGGACACAAAGACAACAAGAUAGUAUUAUUUGAUGUAAUGAUGUGCACAUUGUAGGUUUUUUUGUGCCAUUUUGGUUUUGAUGUAAUAUAUAAUGUUUGGUGUCUAAUGGAAUUGUGUCAUAGAUGUAAUACAAUUUUUGGUCUAUUUCAAUUUAUAAAUGGGUGCAUUGAUGAUUUUGGUCUGAUACGAUUCAAAAAAAUCCAGCUUAAAAAUAUGGGAAUAUUGUAAAGUUGAAAAAUAUAUAUAAAAAACAAAUAAUAUCACAACGGUUUUUAAUUCAACUGUUGUUAUAAGUAGAGCGCUAGCCAUAAUAAUAAAACGCAAGAAUGUCGUUGUUGGGAUUCAAACUCAGGAUCUAUAAAUUAAAGAAUGUUUUCUUUACCUGUUCUUAUAAGUAGCACACUACCUAAUUUAUAACCAUGGUCACUCGCCUAUUGUGAAAAACCAGGAUACAUACAAUCACACGCUACUUAACAACGGAUGUGAAUCCAUCAGUAUAUGUGUUUCACAGACAUCAUUAUAUGUGUUUUCCGUAGUAGUGAACGUACCAUAGACUACUAAUACACAUGCAUCAAGCAGUCGGUCACAUAUGGAAUAUGAGGAAAAUUUUAUUUUGAUCGAUGACAUGUUUGGCAUUACCUUUGGGGUAAACGUAACCUAUGAUGAACCUCAAAUUUGGAUGGGGAAGAGCUGUCGAAUGAGGAAAUGCAAAGAUUUUAUAUGUCAUUGAAAGAAAUGAAUACGUCAUUGUUUGAGGGAUCGUCUGACUCAAAAUUAUCAAUGUGUGAGAUUACUGGCCACCAAGUCAGAUUGGAAUGUUCUUGAUCAGUUUUGGAAUUCUUCACAAAAUUGAUGUUGGGCACGACUCAUACGAAAGACAGCUGUAACCUAAGGGGUCUAGUUUUUUGCAUCCCAUGCAACAGUCUUCCUUCAUGUAGCAGCACGAGGGAUCUAGUUUUACACAGAUAUUGUCAUCCUACACGCAUCAGCCUGGGGGAUCUAGUUUUCCAAACGUACCAACAUCCUUCCUGUAGCAGCCUAGGGGAUCUAUUUUUCGAUAUCCCAUGCAGGUAACAUCAUCCUUCAUGCAGCAACCUAAGGGAACUAGUUUUCCACCUCCCACCUAGGUACCACCAUCCAUCAUGUAGCAACAUGGGGGAACUAGUUCCCGCACCCCACAUCCCACACAUAUACAUGCGCGUGAGGAGCAAGAUGACUAUAUUUUGGAGGAUGAUAAGGAUCAUGAGGAACAAGAAAAUCUUGUUGCAGAUCUCGAUGCACGUUUCGUGUUUAAUUGAUGUUAUCUUAUUCGGCCCAAUGGAUCCAAGUAAGUUUCUAAUUUAUAAUGUUUAUUUAACUAUAUAUAUUUCAAUUUUUAGAUUUAAUACGUAUUUAAAAUUUUCAUGUUUAGUUUCGCACCGAAUCUGCCUGCUGCCAAAGCUAUAAAUCGAGUAAUUCAACUAAUGUAUAAAAAAACAUGGAAGUAUUUUGGAGAGCUUACCUCGGAGGAGAAAUAUGAAUGGUUUAAUAAAUUUAAGGUAUAUUGAAUUCUUAUUUAAGUUAUGUUAUUUUAUAAUUAUUUUUUUGUUAUAAUGAUCUAACAAUUUAUUUGAAUGUCAUACAACCUUGCAAAAAAGGUGUACGUGGAAUGUCAUGAACGAAUAUAAGAUUAAAAAAAUUUAAAAGUAGAACAUUAAAUCGACUAAUUGACAUGUUUAGGCGUGCUAAACUACGUUGGGAUGAUCAAUAAAUUCAUCCUGACUAGAUAGGAAAGGAAAUAUUUGAGAAACUUCUUGUCUAUUGGAAGAAAGAAAAUUUUAAGAAAAAACUGAGCAUGCAAAAAAACUAAGAGCGUCUGAGGUAGAGGGUUGCCUUAGUUUAGUAGGAAGUAUUAGUAUCGACAAACAUGCUCGACGGAUGACAAUUAUAACUAUACUUUAAAGUUAUAUUUUGAUUUAUUAUAUAUAUAUAUAUAUAUAUAUAUAUAUAUAAUUAAAGUUAAUUAUUUUAAUUAGACUAGGGAGUUAGGGAGACCCCCAACAGAUUAGUGAGCUGUUCAUGAAGACUUGUACCAAAAAAUCAGGGGAGUUUGUUAACGCCCGUUCCAGAAUAACUUUAGUAAGUUAUUUAUAUUCAUUAUUUUAUUUAAUUAUUGCAUAUAACUAAAUUGUUUAAAUUAUAUUUAAUUUAAUUUUUUAUGUAUGUGUAGGAGUUGUAUCAGAGAUUGCUCACACAAUUUCUAGUUUAAAAUCCUCAGUAUACUCUGGUCGAUUUAAAUCCGAUUGAUACACGUGUGGAUCUUUAUAUUUGGAUUUUAAAAAUUGGCGGGAAGAGAGCUAAUGGGUGUUUUUUUGGUGUUGGACCUUUGGCCGCCAACUACAGAAGAGAAGAUAUAACAUUAUUUCAAAGACUUGAAGACGGGGAAGGAACGUUUUGUCCACCAGAAUAUAUACCCGAAAUAAUGGAAACAAUGAGACAAUUGGUUUUAACUGAGGCGAGACGGCAGCACUUGAGGCAGAACUAAAGGCCGAAAUUGAAAAAAUGAAGAAGAGACAAUCUGAGAUGGAGGAGUUGGUGGUCAAGAAGAUGAAGAUGAAGAUGAAGAAGACGGGAUAUUUAGUGAUGAUUGAUAAUUUUUUAUUGUUGCCUAUGUUUGUGGCGUGAAUAUCACGUGACUAUAAUCUUAUUUUUUUUAAUGAUAAUUAUCAUUAGAAAAUAUGAUUUUUUAAUCGAAUAUAAUUUAAAUUUUUGUAUUUUUUUACUUAUUAAUUAGUUUUUUUAGUGACAAUAAUUAUUUGAAAAUAUUUUAUUAAUUAUUAAUAUUCUUAUUUUAUGAAAUUUUUAUUUUUUUUAUUAAAUAAAUUUCCUGCGAAAUAGAAACCACGUGGCAAAAUUCUGAAAAAAAUUAUUAGUGGCACGAAAUUCACGUCACUACCUAGUAACACUGACCCUACAAACUUUUUUAUUUUGUGGGUUGCGACGUGAUUAGCCUGCUACAAAUUAGUAGCGUGAAAUUCACGUUAGUAUCUAGUAACACUGACUAUUGCUAAACGUUGCAGAGUUGUAUAAGUUUUUUAUUUUAUUUUGUGGGUUGCGACGUGAUUAGUCUGUCACAAAUUAGUGGCGUGUUUUUCACAUGACAAUAUGGUCCAAAUAAUUUUGUGGGUUGCAACAUGAUUAUGUUGCCACAAAUUAGUGACAUGUUUUUCACGUGGCAACCAGUUGCCACAAGUGCUUCUGAAACAUGUUUCAGUCACGUCGUUGUGUUUUGUGACGUGAUAUUUGAGUUUGUGUCGUGAUUUUCACGUGUCUAAUGAUUGUUUUUUUUUGUAGCGUUUCACCAACAAAACUAAAGUACCUGGACAUAGACCUUUUGUUAGAAAAAAAUUCUGCCCAAUCUGUAUUUGUAUAACCUUUCAUAUUAAGGUGGUUAUUUUUAAAAACAUAAGUCCUCUAGUGGGAGCAUAUUUUUGGUAUUAGAUUAUUAAGAUUACUGCAUCCAUAUGAGCUUCACAUGGAUUAUGCAUAUAUUGACUUACUAUAAUGACAUGUAUGCUAUAUCAUAACGUGUGGAUCAAAAAUAGAUUAAUUUUCCUACCAAUCUCUAGGAUUGUUCUUUAUUUGUUGGCACGGGAUCAUUAUUUUCUCCAAAUUUAUGAUUUUGAAUUAUUCAAUACUACAAAUAUAACCAUUUUAUCUCGAGUGUGAAGAGUAUUUUACUUCGGUUAGACAAGCGAGGUAACAAAGGACGACAUGAACUCCUGACACUUUAUCACUCGGUUUCUGAAUAAUCGAAGGGAUAUUUGAAAUGGUUAUUGGUUCGAUCUCUAGCAACAAUAUUUUUUUUUCAAAACCAUGUUGUGCGCGCCACAUGCCUCUCGGUUAUAACAUCAUUAUUUAUGUUGAUUUUGCUAUAAUAAGCAAGGGUAUAACCUAGUUUUUCAUUUAUAAUUUUUUAAAUCUCAUUUUGACUGUUGUGUAUCAUUUUUUUACACAGAAACUACAAAUUAUGUGACAGAAUCAUACCAUUUUAUUUUAUACAGAACAUAAAUACAAAAUACCAAAUUUACAUUGUUUACAAAACCAAAUGUGCAAUGCUUAGAAUACAUAUAAUGACAUAUGGGAUACACAAAACCUCUAUCAAGAGAACCUAUACAUGUUUGAACCUAUACAUAUUUGCACCUAUAAUGACAACCUCUGUACAAUUCUUACAACAACCAAGAAAAAUUAGUGUUAUUGAGAUUCAUUAUAAGAUAGGAAGGUGUUGGUCCAACGUGAUCGAAUGUCAUAUAUAUCCUCUUGUGAGAAUGGUGCUUCGUUGUUAAACGCCUAUACGUUGAGAAAUUUUUUAAUUAUGAUAAGCUAACAACAACAAUAACAACAUUAAUUUAAUAAAUAUAAAUAAAUUACAUGUAUAUGGAUAAAGUUAAUACAUUAAUCCAUGAAUUCACAAUGCCUCCGGAGGUAAUAUCUAACAUAUGUAACAUUACAUAAUAUCCACACGAAAAAUUGUCGUGUCGUUUUUCACGACUACAAAUUAUUUUGAUAAUAGUUACUAAUUUAUACACACAAAAGCACAAGUAACACAUUAGAGAAAAUAAAAUAAUGUUAAAAAUCACAAAGUAAUAUUUAUUUUGGGGAAAUAGAACUUGACUUUUUACUAACACUAUAAAAGAUAUGGUAAAUAGUAGCCGUUAAUUUUGUAAAUAGUGGCGGUCUUGACAACUAUUUUAAACAUGAAUGGUGAUUUUUAAUAACGCCAUAUAUUUUGAUGCCGCUUGGUAAAUAACGACGUUUUACCAUAGACCGCCACGCUAAAUGCCAUAAUUUACCUUAUAUAAAGUGGCGGUUUUAUUUUGGAAAUACUUGCGUUUGCAACAGCCAUAUUUAUCAAUAUAAAUUCUUUAAAAUAUUAGAAAAUUUGGGCAAUUUCGACUGCCACAAUUUUUUAUUUUAACAAAAAUAAAAUUAAUAGAUAUCAUUAGGUUAAUUGAAAAAACCUUAAAGCCUAAUAAUAAUAAAUCAUCACUCUUAAGGUUUUACUCAACAAAAACUGUUCUGCCAAAGUAACAGUUUAAUUCUUUAAUAAAAAAUAUGUGGAGAAUUCAACCCAAUCCUUCAUUAGAUAUUUUUAUCAUUCUAGUAUUUGAACAAGAUUAGAGGUGACAAUAUAAUUCUUUAAUAAAAAACAUAAAAUUGACUUUUGAUUUCCUUCCUUGUAAGGCUCGUUAAGUACUGCAAAACAAGAUAAGAUCAACAGUCAGAUAAUGUGAUAAAUUUAUUUAAGCAAUGAGAUUUAAAUCUACACAAUAUUCAAUAAGAAAAAUGAAUAAAUUAGUAGAAUUUGUAAGAGUAUUAUAUAUUGAAUCUACAAAACUCUACAUCUCCCUUUUGUUUAGGCAAGUGUGGUCUAACAGUUAGAUGAGAUUAAAAAGAAAAUAUAACACGCCUGACAAGAAUCCAUGUAAGGAGAGUUGAGAUCCUGCAACAAAAGAGGUAGAUAAAUUUUAUAAGUUUUCUACUUACUCUAAUAUGUAAACCUUUUUUCUCUUCAUUUUCUUCACUCCCCUUCAUAUGAAUCAACAAUAUAAAUUAUAUACAAAAAAUGGAGAAGCAUUAAAAUUAUACUAAGUGAACUCAUUAAAAUGGAGAAGCAAGAGUAAAAAAAUGUUAAAGUAUAAAAUUAUACUAAGUGAACUCAUUAAAAUUUGACGAAUACCUUAUACAUGCUAGCUAAAAUUUACUUCUAAUACUUCUCCAACAACAUGCAUUUACCUAUGGACUUACUACACCAAACAUAAGAGAAGCAUUACAUUAUAAUGGUUCAUGUAAUAAAACAAAAUGAUGGAAUUUGUUUAUAUGAGUAAUCAUAGCUUAUUAUAAACACUUAACUUAAGCUCCUCGAUUUUUAUUCAGACAAGAGUUUCCAGAUUGAAUACCAAUGCACCCUUCAUAUUAAACGUCGAUUGUGACAUGUUUCUAAACAAUCCAAAAAUUGUUCAGAAUGUGAUGUGCAAUUUGCUUGAUUCAAAAGGAGGAAAAGAAAAGGAGGAAAAGAAGUUGCUUUUGUUCAAUGUCCUCAACAGUUCUAUGCUACUUUCAAAGAUAAAAAGAAGUUGCUUUUGUUUAAUGUCAUUUUGUAUAAGGUAAUAUACGAAAUCAUAAAAUACAAAAUAAAUUGUCGCUACAUUAAUUUAAUCACAUUUUUAAAUAACGCAUGCAGUAUCUUGGAGUUGGAUUAGCAUAACUUCAAGAAAUUUUCUAUGGUGGAACAAAUUGUUUUCAUGAAAGAAGAGUUAUAUAUGGUCUUGCUUUUGAUGACAGGAAAAUGAUAUGCACAUAUUAACUUAAAUCUCUUUUAAAGAUUUAUAUUUGGUCUAAUUGCACUUUUUUAUUUCUUUUUUAUCGCACACACAAAAGCUAUUCUAUUUUUUAUAUCGAAUUUUUGUUAAUCAAAUAUCACCCUAGUUGAACUUGCACGAGCAUGUUACUUCUUGUUCUACAUAAAGUUGUCAGGAUCUGAAGUACAUUAUGUUUUACACGUAGGGUCAAACAAAUUAUCAAAGGAGGAGUUAAAAGAAAAACUCGGAGCUUUCAACAAACUUAAGAAACUUACGAAAUCAGUUGUUCAUGCUUUGGAAGGGAGAACAAAUUCUUCUUGUAACAUUAAUGUUAAAAAAAUAGUAGAAGAUGCUAGUCAAGUUGCUAGUUAUGAAUAUAAAUACGUGGGAUAAACAUGUUUAUCACACAAAUUUAUUAUUUAACAUAUAUUUUUGAUGUAGGACCGACUUCUUUGAAAAAAGUGUGUUAGUGUCUGUGUAUAACAACACCAACUCUCUUGGAAUUAAAAGUUUCUAAGAAUUUAUGUAAUUUUAAAUUGGUUGAAUGUAUGUAUCAAUAACAGAAAAUGUCUUAACUGAACUGACAAUGCACGAAAAAGGCUGGAGAUCAUAAUUAUAUACACCAGAUCCAAUUGCUUUCACAAGUUAUACUCCAACUGGUAUGUCACAACAGAAGAGAUGAGCAAUGGUAUGUCACAACAGAAGAGAUGAGCAAUGGUAUGUCACAACAGAAGAGAUGAGCAACAGGAAUGCUUGAAAUCUUCUUUAGCAAAUAUUGUCCAUUUUUGUACCAUAUUUGCUAAACUUUGAUUUAGUGAAUUCUUAGAUUAUAUGUGGAUCAUUAAUUUAGGCUUCAAUCCAUUUGUAUGCUACUCUUGUCUGAUUGCUUAUCCACUAGUAUAGAAAUACCACUAGAAUUAUUGAUUCAAUACCUAUUUUAUUAAAAAAAGAUAUAAAUUUAUAAAAUACGGAGAUUUUAUAAUUAAAAUGAAAAUUCUAAUUUUAACGUUCAUAUGAAAGAGACUAAACAAAGCAAAACCCUUCUUCUGUUAAAUAAAACAAAGUAAAAAAACUUCUGAAUGAAAGAGGUGGCCACUUGUUCUAGUUAUUUUAACAGGGCUAAGAUUUUUAGCGUGAGAGAAAGAAACAGAAGUGUAAGAGGGAGAGAGUCUUCUUCUAUUUUAUGUAAAAUAUUUGUAUAUAUUAAUGUUAAUAAGAAAUUAUUUCUUUAUAUAUGUGUUAAGAAUUUUUCUUAAAGAAAAAAAUUGAUACAAUUCAAUAUUUUGAAAAACAAAUAGGGAAUUUUGUUAAAAAAUAAAAGAAAUAAUGGAAACAAAAAGAGAUAAAAAAAGGUCAAAAUAAAGACAAAAAGAAACGUGAUAGCAACUUUGAAAUGAAAAGUUUACGUAAAUAGUGGCGGUUGAAACCGACGUAAUAUGAAUAAUAUCACAGGACUCCAAAAUCUAGCUUAAUAUACGGUAAAUUCUGGCGGUUUUAGUAACCACCCUAAAAGAACCGCCACAGUUUUUUGUAGUGUAAGUAUAUUACAUUUCACAAAAUUGUAUCCAUUCAUCGCUGUACAUGUUGGUAAAAAUUAAACAUGAAUAAAACUAUUCAAAUUUUAAAAAAAAAUGUAUCUAAAAACCACAUGAUAAUAAUCCUUCCAGCGAAAAACCAAAUAAUUGAUGUGGUGGCGUAUUAGAACCUUCAGAAGGAAACCUAGUCUAAAAUUCUCAUUCGAAUCAAAAUAACUCGGUUUUAGCUCUCUCAAUAUGGAAGCUUAAAUUACAAAUAAUCAACAAAUACAACCUAAGCUGCAAAAGUAAGUUCUACCUAAUACUCAUUUGAUAGUCUAAAAUUCUCAUUCGAAUCAAAAUAACUCGGUUUUAGCUCUCUCAAUAUGGAAGCUUAAAUUACAAAUAAUCAACAAAUACAACCUAAGCUGCAAAAGUAAGUUCUACCUAAUACUCAUUUGCAAAUUAAACAUAAGAUCAUAAUUCUUAUGCCCUUUAGAGAAAAAGUUUUUUUAUUCUUCCUCAAACCCUAAUUAAGAAUCUUUGAACAUGGAAGAAGAAUCUGGAAAAGUUUGAGGGUUUCACAUGAGAAGCAGAGUGAAGAAUGAUGCAAAAAAGUGAGAAUUUCACCGAAGAUUUUUGAUGAAUUGGGAAGGAAGCACAAUUUCCCUUUAGUGUUUCCAGUAUUCUUUUCUACAUUAAAAGGUUUGGUAAAAAAGAAAUAAUCCCAUAUUCUUUUUCAAAUUAAAAGGUUUAGUAAAUAAUAAUAAUAAUAAAAAGAAUUUAUUAUUAACAGUCGAGUAAAAAAGUAAUAAUAAAAGAGGAUUCUUUUGUCAUUAUCAUCGAUUCAGAAACGAUGCCACGUCUCGUUCCAUUUUUUGAAUAGUUUUUUUUUAAGAAUGGUCGUCAUGUUUCCUCCCAAAACAAUUUCGAGGAAAGAAUUAAUAAGAAAUCUUUUUAAUUUUAUAAAAUCAAUUUCUGAUGACAACGAACUUUUUGGAAAAAAUUGGAUGAAAAUUCUCUUACUCUUUUAUUGUUUUAAUUUAUCGAUUUAGGUAAGAGCAUAAUAAAUGACAAAGGUAUUUUUCAAAAUAUAUUUUUUAUUUGUUAAAAAAGAAUAAAAUAUGUAUAUGAAGCAUAGUUCAUCUAAAAUGUCGAUAUUAUUAAUUGAACAUCUUCACUUUGAUUAGAACACAAUUUUAUAAUUGUGUGUGAAUUUCAAUCAUAUAUAAAAAUGAGUUUAAAGAUAGUACGCAGACAGCGUAAAACAAUAUUAUACAUACAAGUAAGAUCAAUCAAAAUCCUUAUAUUUGUAAUGUCAUUUCAGUAUUUUAUAAAUCAAAAUAUGAUUUGAUAAAAUACAUAUUUUUUAUUGGUCAACAAUGUAAAAAUAUUUUAUAUUUGUAUAUUCUUUUUUCUUUAUCUAUACACAGAAAAUGUAAAAAAGAAUUUAUAAAUGAAAUUGUUAAAAGGUAGUUUUUUUUCACCCUUUUUGAACUCUAGAAUUCAAAUCUUAAAAUUCUUUUUUCAAUCUUUCAAAACCUUUCAUAGUUUAAUAGCCUAUGCCGUUUGGUUCACCGUGCAUUCAAAAUCUUCAAAUAUAUCUUCUUAGCAUUUUUCUUUUAUGCUAUCAAAAUUUAAAUUCAUCGUUUUUACUUAAUCCACCUUUCUUAAGAAAGUGUGACAAGAUCUAUAAAUUAAUUUAAUUAGAACCAAAUAAAUUAAAAAAUGAAGAAUAAUAUAGUUGAAAAUAUCAAGAAAUUAAAAAAUAAAUAAUUUGCAAAUACAAUACAGCUUUCUAAAUUCUAUUUCAAAAUGUAAAAAGUAUAAGAAUAUCACGUUUCAAAUGAUUCAAGUUAUUAAUUCUCCUAACAACUAUAGUGUGAACAUAAUUAAGUAUGAAGUGUAAGAAACUUAUUAUAAUAUUUAAUUUAAAUAUUUAGUUAUUCAUAAUUUCUCAUUUCUAUCAUGUAUUGUCAGAUUUUGUUUAUCUAUCAUUUUUGUCUUCCUCAUGCUUUUUCCUAACAACCAUUAUGUGAACCACGAAUCACAUGGCCUCUUAACAAAAUUAACUAAAUUUAAGAUAAAAGUCUUCAAAAUUCCAUAGAGUCCAACCACAAACGAAACCUUUAUGCAUUAUUUUUUGUUAUUUGCUAUUAAAAAAACUGUUAUAUUAAUGCAUGACGAAAAUAGAGGAUGUCAAAAAUAACAUUUUUUUAAUGAUCAAAUAAUAUACAUUAAAAGGGGAUGUAAUGCGCAAAGAGUUAUGAAACACAAGAAGUGUCAUAUCAGAAAAACAAUGAACAUAGGAACAAAAGAAGAAAAAAAAGAAAAAAAAAACUAUAAACAAUCACCAACAACCACUAUUACAAAUAAUAUAUUUUAUGACAAAACUUUUAUCUCACUCAACAAAUAAUCGAGGUAUAAAUAUAAGGUGUUUGAUGUUUAUUUUUCAAAAAAAUUACAAUUUAUUCUCUCGGUUGCUACACAUAACCGAGGGCUAAACUAUCAAAGGGACACACUUUGAAUCUCAACUACCUCAAUUUAUAUUUUAUUUCUUUUAUAAUGGUGUAAUUAUUUUUUAUUUAAAUAUUAAGUAAAAUAUUUCUUCAGUUAACCUACCAAACGAGAGAAAAAAUGACCCAAUUUCGCCUAUACACUAUAACAAAAAUGAGUUUAAACAACAUUGAAAAGUUAUGGCCUAAAGUAAAAACCGGCUCCUCGGGCUUUAAGGCACAAUUUUAUAUACGUGGAAGAAACGGUUGUUACCGAUUUAUUUAGAGCGCGGUUUUUGCAUUUCUAUCCCCAAAUUAAUAAUACAGUUGCCUAAAAAGCAAAAUGCCAUGGUUUUAGUAGUAGUUUUAAAUUGCGGGUUUUUUUAGCAACUAAAAAUAAUUGUCUCUAAAGUCACCACUCUCUAGGGAGAGAGUGGUAGCUUUGAAAAUUCAGAAUAGAUAAGUGGACAAUUGUUGCUCCUACGCAAUGAAAUCUCUCUUCCUCUUAAAAUAAAUUAAACCACCAUCAUCCCGAAAAUCCAUUUCGCCCACUUUUCCAUUUUCUUGAAGAGUGAUUUAAAAUAAAUAGGAGAAAGUGCUUCCUUUAGGGUUGAGGACCAAUCCACAUAUUACUCUAGAAUGAGAUAAGAAGUCAUAUUCAACUAUUUUGAAAAUUCCCUCGACAAACCAAUUAGACAGAGUGUCAUAUGAAAAGUCAAACUAAGAGAUACCUCACCAUCAAGAAGAUGCCAAUCUCAAAACAUGUGAAAAUUUUGGGAAUUUUUACACCGAAUAAGCGCCUAAAACUCAUGACAAACAAACAAUCUACUUUCUAACUCCUUUUGAGAAAGAUCUAUAGACUCACUCUCAACACCAAACACUCAAUCUUAUAAAAGCACAACAUAAUCCUAAAAUCCAAAUUACCAAACACCUUCAUAUUCUAGAUUUUAAAUUUUAAGGGUCCCUUCCAAAGCUUUCGGCUUAUCCUUAAGCAUGCACGCCUUCUAACCCUUCUAAACCUCCAUCCGUAGGGAGUCUCUAACCACAUACUCAAAUCUAAAAUCUCCUAACUAGAAAUUAUUAAACCAAAAGUGCUUAGGACAACAUAACUGAUAGGGAUACUUAACCACAAUCAGACAAUGAUCUCAAGCCAAGGUCCACAAACGACCCUGACCCCACUCCUCCUCCUAUCCUGUUUGGCAACAAAAAAUAACUAUAUUAAAAUCUCAUUAUAAUGAAUGAAACCAAGUAAAUCUCUUAUCCAACAAGGAUAAAUUCAUUAACCAUACCGCCUUAAUUAAAUACCUCAAACUCAAGAGAUUCCACCAAAGUCAAUCCAUGAUGCCCCACAUUCACGCCAUUUUUCUCGAAAGGAUAAAUAACUACAUUAAAAUCACCCAGAACACAUCAAACAAUUUUUGAGAGAAUCAAUCACUUGCCCGAACCAAAAGAUCCCACAACAAACAACUUAUCCUUAAGCAUUAAAAUCUUUCAUAUUUUUCACUUGAUCAUUAUCUCUUAUUAAAAAGAGAGUAAAUAGAUCGGUAAAUUCAUAUAAUUAGAACCAUAUAAAUUUAAAAAAAUAAAUGAAGGAUGAUAUAGUUGAAAAUAUCAAAAAAUAAAUGAAUAAAUUAGUUUCAAAUAAAAUAUGAGAAUAUAUAAUGACGUCUAAAAUGAUUCAAUUUAUUAAAUCCCCUAACAACUAUAGUGUGAACAUAAUGCAAGUAAAAAGUCUAGAUCCAUUGAAAUUGUAUUAGUGCAUUAUGCUUUGUUAUUUGCUAUGCAAAUAAAAAUAGCUUUUUUAAUGCAUAACGAUAUGCCCACAUGAGGAGAGGAUGUCAUAUAUGACAUUUAAUAGGUUCCAUUAGAUUAAUAGCUUGAGCAUUUACAUGAAAGUUAUAGUUAUAAAAGGACAUGAAAAUAGCUACUCAUUUUAAACACAACCAAAUCAAACUCACAAUGUCUGAAGAUAGAAGUGAAAUUGUGAGACCAAUCAUUUACCGUGAAUACCUUUUGAAACACUUCCCAACUACAGUUAGCUCAGAGUACAAACCAGUUGACUUCAUAAUAGGCUUUGCUAGUGAGGACUAUACUCCAAAUGGAGAAGGCACAGGUAACUUCCAUCCCACCUGGGACCUGGAUACUUUCAGUCCUGAAAAGUUGAAAAAACUGAAGGAAAGAUAUCCACAUGUAAGGGUGGUGAUAAGCAUCGGAGGCGGCAUUGGAACUGAUUCUCCAUUCAAUCCCAAUGAGAAACAGACGUGGAUUGCAACUGCCGUAUAUUCACUCACAGAUAUCAUUCUUGGCUAUGACGACGCCAACUAUAAAAACUUGAUUGAUGGUAUUGAUAUUCACUAUGGCAAUAUCAAAUCGGAUGACUUUUCCUACUGUAUUGGAGAAGUAAUAAAGUCGCUCAAGAAUAAUCCUCGUCUAGCCAUUAACGUGGUGUCCAUUGCUGCAGGAGAAUACACCCAAUCAUACUACCAAAAAUUGUAUAUGGAAUACCGAAACUAUAUUGACCUUGUUGAUUACUUGUUCACCAAUUGGGGAUAUUCUAUGGAAGAUUUUUUCAUAUUCUAUAAAAAGCUAUUAGAUGACUACAGUCAUGCUACACUCCUUCC